rnacentral:rRNA from 1 species
UACGUAGGUGGCAAGCGUUGUCCGGAUUUACUGGGCGUAAAGAGCGCGCAGGCGGCCAAGUCAGUCGAAUGUGAAAGCCCCCCGGCUUAACUGGGGGAGGGUCAUUCGAUACUGCUCGGCUCGAAGACAGGAGAGGGAAGUGGAAUUCCCGGUGUAGUGGUGAAAUGCGUAGAUAUCGGGAGGAACACCAGUGGCGAAGGCGACUUUCUGGCCUGUUCUUGACGCUGAGGCGCGAAAGCUAGGGGAGCAAACGGGG